ensembl:lncRNA
GAUCAAACCUGUAUCUUCUGAGUCUCCUGCAUUGGCAGGAGUAUUCUUUACCACUGUGUCACCUGGGAAGUCCUUUCUGUAGCAUCACUUUCCCUUUAAAUCAACUUGAGGUGGGUAGAGGGGGAGUGAAGGAAUCAUACCUGAUUUUGAUUUCUUUUAGUAAGCUCCAAAGUAGAUAUUUGGCAGCUCUUUGGUAUUCUCUUUAGAGUGAAAUUUCUUUGAACUUUUAUCCAAUAUUUUCAGACCAUAGAAAAGUCUAAUUAGAUACCCUAUUUAAGUUUUUUCUUUCUUGAUUUAAUUAAAAACAUAAUUUUCUUAUAAGAUCAUAUGUCAUCUGUGCUUUUGAUUCAUGUUACAUAUUUAUUUAGCAGAUUUAAUAUACUUUGGUUUCAGCUCUUCACAAUUGGCCCCUAAGAGCCAUGAUAUAAGAACAUUGAAGUUUGCUGAUUUAAGAAUGUGGACUGAAGCAGGCUGGGUCUGAGUGCAGCAUUUUAUCUCUGUGUGGCUUUGUUGUCCUCUCCUUGUCAAUUGUAACUUGAGUUCUACUCUCUGAUGAUAUUAUCACUCCUAAACUGCUUGUGUGUAAUCUAUGGACAGAAUGGAAGCAUUCUUGACCUGGAUAUUGUCAUCUUUACGGAAGUCUUUGUGAUGUCUUCAUGCAAGCAAGUUCCGCGGAUAGGAAUGCCAGCCCUGCCCGAGCCCUGCACCCCGGCACUGCCUCCAGAGCCUGAGCUAGACUCCAACCCCAGCCUGCUGUGUGGUGGCAGACACCGUCAACGCUGGAGAGAAAGGUUUAUACAACAGAAAGAAUCACAGGAGUUUGCUCAUUUGCGAUGGCAAAAACCUGCAAUCUGUGCGGAAGUGAUUUCUGAGGAUGUCAGACCAAGAAGAGAGAAGCUUAAUUUUAGAUCAGGUUGAUUAUUUUGCAUUGGGUGUACUUGCCAGAGAUUCUGAGUUCAAUAUGCUCACUUGAGCAGCUCAGCAUAUUUGAUAGAAAUGUGGGAAUGUUAGCCAAUAGCUAUCAUACUCAUAGCCAUACCCACAGCCCUAGCCAAUGCUUAAGCUGUGAUGCCAGAAAUUUCUUGGGAUGAUGUAGAGAAAUGGAAGUAAAGAUAAGGAAAUAUUGGGGUAUCUUUACAAUGUGUAAAUCACACAUCUACAUCUAGUCAUGUCCCCCAAGUGAGACUAAAGUACCAUUCCUUCAGUGAGGCACUACCUUCAUCAAGAAAUAUAUAUAUAUAUCUGCUAAUCUCAAACUCCCAUUCCAUCCCUUCCCUACCCACCUCCCCCCAGCAACCACAAGUCUGUUCCCUAGGUCUGUGAGUAUGCUUUUGUUUUGUAGACAUGUUGAUUUGGAUUGUAUCUUAGAUUCCACAUAUAAGUGAUGUCAUAGGAUGUUUGUCUUUCUGAUGUGCUUCACUUGGUAAGAAAAUCUCUAGGUCCGUCCGUGCUGCUGCAGAUGAUGGAUAAACAACAAGGUCCUACUGUAUAACACAGGGAACUAUAGUCAAUAUCCUGUGACAAGCCAUAAUGGAAAAGAAUAUGAAAAAGAAUAUGUGUGUGUGUGUGUGUGUGUGUGUAUGUGUACCCACAUAUAUAUAUAUAGUUUGUGUGUGUGUAUAUAAUUGAGUCAUUUUGCUGUACAGAAGAAAUGAACACAAUGUCAUAAAACAGCUAUAGUCCAAUAAAAUUUUUUUAAAAAGAAACACCUUGAAAAGUGCCAGAGUGACCAUCAUCUGAGGGUAAUGGCUCCCUGAUUUCUCUGGGGGUGAUGGGGUCCCAGGAGGCAAAGUCCAAGGACAGGACCAAAGACGGAGGCAAAAUGGCUAUGGUUACCAUAAUAGGCGGCAGAGCUGGAACAAUGAUCUUGGGUUUUGAAUGUCACUGAUGUUUGGCAGUGGUAAACAGUACAAGAUGUGCCUAAGACUGAAAGAAAUGUGUAGGCCUAUUAUACUCCUCCUUGGUCUGGGUAAACUGACACCAAAACAAAAGCAAAAUUCUAGGUGACCUGAGUAAUUCUCACCCUUUACUGGUUUAUAGACCCACAGCCCGUAGAGCAGGUACUCUAUGAUAGUGCUACAAUCACUGUUCAUCUUUCUAUUCCCCUAAAAAAGGCAGUCUGACAUAUUCUUGCAGUCAUCUGUCAGGAAAAUGGUUGUGUCCAGGAGAAAGGAACCACCCAGAUCUCUGUGGG